rnacentral:SRP_RNA from 1 species
CGUCGGAUCCCUCGCGACGGCCAGCCGCGAACCCCGCCAGGCCCGGAAGGGAGCAACGGUAGCGGCAACGCCGGGUGCCGGGGGUGUUCUGGCGCGG